AUAAAUGGAAAAUCACUCCCAAGUUUUAGAGCCGAGACGCUGCUUGCGCACUUACCCUAAUCCCCAAUAAUGAGCAGACCAACGUCGACGAUUGAAAUUCCCGAUCGCCGGUAUCGUCCAGAACGCCAAAGCGAGCGUUAUACACCUGAAUCCGACACCUCCGCUGACUACUACCGCCAGCGGGACCGCCGAAGUCCCUCCUACCAUAGCUACGAUGAGCUUCACCGAGGAACCGGUCGCGGCCGCUACCGCUCAAGCUCACCUGAGUAUUCAAGCCCUGGAAGAAGAAGCCCAAGCCCUAGGCCCAGGAAAAACCUAGAUUCUCCGCCAAAAAAGUUCGGCAGGGGGCGGGCAUACCUCGAUCGCGGCGGCUCUCGUAAUGGAAGGAACUCGGAAUCAGAAUCCGAUGAGGAGUUGAAGGGUUUGAGCUUUGAAGAGCGGAGGAGGCUGAAGAGGCAGAAGAUGAGGAAGAACAUCGCGAAAUAUUGUAUUUGGACGCUUACCCCUAGUCCACCCAGGGAUGAGAACGAAGAAGAAGAUUUGGAAGGCAAACCAGAUGAGAUUUCGGAGAAGUAUGGGGAAGACGAAGAGAAGAUUGACUUUAGCGAGAAAGAGAAAGGAAAAGCGCGUGAUGGAAAGGGUGUAUCAGAAUCUGAGUCUGGGAAAUCUGUGAGCAACGAUUCAGAAUCCGAGUCUGUGUCUGAGUCUGAAUCUGAAUCAAAUGAUUCUGGGUCAAGGAAGAAGAGGAGAUCGAGUUCUAAGCGCAGGGGCAGGAAAUCAUCUAUGGAUAGCGAAUCAGAUGAGGAUGAGAGUGAGAGUGGGAAUGAAACUGAAUCGGAUUCUGAAGAGGAUCGAAGACGCAGAAAGAAGUCACGGAAAAGCAGCAGCAGCAGCAGUAGAAGGGAGAGCAGCAAGAGAAGUAGCAGAAAAAGAAAAAGUCGGAGGAAAAGUAGGUACAGUGAUUCUGAUGAUAGUGGGAGUGAAGAAUCCGAAUACGAGUCUAAGAAGAGAAGGCGCAUUUCAGGGUCUAAACGCAGCAGGAAAAAGAGGUCUGAAACAGAGAGUGCCAGUUCAUACUCAGAUAAGAGUUCAGAUGCUGAUAUAGAUGCAAAGGGAAAAUCAAAGCCAGAUGAGAUGAAGACUGAAAUUAAUGCUGAUGCUCUUAUAUUAAAAGAGAUGAUCGAGGCACAGAAGAAGCCUGCUCUGGAUAAUGAACCUACGGUUGGGCCAAUGCCCCUACCCAGAGCUGAGGGGCAUAUAAAUUAUGGUGGUGCAUUGAGGCCAGGUGAAGGCGAUGCUAUUGCACAGUAUGUGCAGCAAGGAAAGCGUAUUCCACGUAGAGGUGAAGUGGGUCUUUCUGCUGAAGAAAUUCAAAAAUUUGAGAGCCUCGGAUAUGUGAUGAGUGGUAGCAGGCACCAGAGGAUGAAUGCCAUUCGUAUUAGGAAAGAAAACCAGGUCUACAGUGCUGAGGACAAGCGAGCUUUGGCUAUGUUUAACUAUGAAGAGAAGGCAAAACGUGAGCACAAGGUUAUGGCUGAUUUACAGAGGCUGGUGCAGCGCCAUAUUGGGCAGGACGUUGGUCCCACUCAUGAUCCUUUUGCAGCAAAAGCUUCUGAUGGUGUUGAUGCUUGAUAGUGAGGUGCGCUCGUCAAUAUUUGUGUAGUGACUUCCUUAUGCCAUUGAUUGUGGAUCUUUGUACUUGAAUUGAUGUUUAGUGGAAUUACAUAUACCUGUUUUGUCCACGAUUAUUUUCUGAAUUACUUCUUUGGCUUCAUAUUUUUGAGUGCAUUUAUACUAGCCUGGCAUGUUAGAUUUUGACGAGUCUAAAGGAUGAAUAAGUUUAGUUCUUUGAUGCCUUAUUUGUAAAAUCAAACUACACUUUCAGUCAGCUAUAGCAAAAGCAAGUUAGUCAGUUGUCUCAAAAGCAUACGGACAGGAAUAGUAUUCACUUCUUGUGAAAUUUGUAUAACUGUAGUUUGGAUGCUGCAUUGAAAGAUUGCUUAACUGCUUAAGUAGUCUUUUGUUUACCAGUGUGCGAUCCUGUCUUGUAUUGAACCCUUCUUGUGUAAUUUGCAAUUUCCCCCCCAUAGAAGUGUAUAUCUAAUUGUUGCUAUGGAUGUGUAUCUGUGUGGUUGGUACCGUUCUUGUGGUCUAUGAUGGGGCUUUGGUUAUGAAUGCUGUUAGUUCGAUCAUGAUUGAGUGACAUCAACUCUUUCCUCCAUGUCUUUCUGGUAAACAAGCUGACAAUGACAUGCAUAGUGAAGCAAAAAAGUUUUGAUGACUAGAGUCUGAUGCUACGUAGCACGGAAAGGGAAACGUGGACACGGGUAAACGCGGAAACGGAUACUGGGAAACUGCAUUUUAAAAAAUAUAGGAAAUGGAAACGUGGGGAAACGCGUAAAUAUAAAAAAUAUAGGGAUAUAUUUAUAAAUAAAUAACAUAUAUACAUAUAUAUGUGUGUAUAUUUAUGGAUUUAAAAGUCCUAGUUAUAAUAAAUUUAAAUAUUAAAAAAAUGAAAUUAAUUACUUGAUUAAUUAAUUAGAUUAUUUAUAUAUUUAUAAUUAUAAAUAAUUGAAAUAAUAAAUAUAUAGAAUAAUAAAAUUAAUAUUAAAAUACUGAAAAUAAAGGUUGAAAGUUUUAAUACAGUGAAAAUUGAAUAAAAAAAGUAAUAAUGAUUAAAAAAAAUUUUCAAAUAGGAAAUAACGUGGGUAUUAGGAUUCAGGGAAGGAGCAGAGCCAUCGAAGAAGGAGCAGCGCCAUCGGGGAAGGGAGGCUGAUUGGCAAAGCAUCGGAUGGGGAAGGAAGCAGAGACCAGUCACCUCCCAUUGCCGGCACGCUGCCCCACCAGGUAUUCUACCUGGAGACAUACCAAGCAAGUGAAAACUGGAAUUUCACCACUCUGGAUUUAUGUUCUUGGGCUUGUCACACAUCUGGCUGGAGAUACUGAGAGUACAAGUUCUUAUAAUUUUAAUAGAGAAGAGUAGUAGGAUAAAGAUGUUUCAAAAGAAUGAUAAAGCAGCAAAAGAAGAUGAAGUAUUAAGAAAGGGGAAACAUGCAGUAAAGGAGGUUUAUUGUCCUCAGUAUGCAUGCUCAAAUUCAUGUAAAUGUUAAAACUAGUUUGGCAACUGCUCAUGCAAGAUGAACCUCUCCCUGCAGCUGGAUAAAACUCUUUCAUUGGAGCAGUGGACUGGACUGAGUAGUUAUUGAUUUCAUGGGGUUGUGCUUGACCCUACAGUUCCCAUUGUACAUGAACCUCUGGCACCUCUUAUUGUGCAAUGCCUGUUUAUUGUGGUAAUUAAAGGUGGAUUGUUAUGUGAUUUUAAGUUGUAUUUAAUAUAUCACUGCUUAUGUAAUUUUCAGAUUAGAAAAGCGUGUUUUAAAGGAA